CUGCCGAAGGUUCUUCAGCAAAGUACUGAGUACAGGGUCUGAAUACUUAUGUAAAUGUGAUAUUUUAUUUUAUUUUUUAAAUUUUAUUUUAUUUUUUACAAAUUUGGAAACAUUUCUAAAAACUUGUUUUUGCUUUGUCAUUAUGGGCUAUUGUGUAGAUUGAGGGGGAAACGAUGUAAUCAAUUUUAGAAUAAGGCUGUAACGUAACAAAAUGUGGAAAAAGUCAAGGGGUCUGAAUAAUUUCCGAAUUCACUGUAUGUGUGCAGGCAACUUGGAAUGAAUGAAACAUUUGUAUGAAGGGAGGGGUUGUCUGUCACCACCAAGGCGGAGCGAAGGGAUGACGUAUGGUAAACGUUGCCAUCGCAGAGUAAAGAAUCCGCUAUCCUUUGCAUCGCUUUGGUGUAACCAGGAUCGAGAGGGUUCUGUAGUGGCAGGAUAGCUAUUCUCAUUGGAUUAAAUACAUCCAAUUCUUUGACAUUUUUAUUACACAUAAUACAUAGAUGUUGAUUUGGUGGCAGCAUAUAUUUCUCAUGUAGGGAUUUUGUUAUUGACACAUGCCGCUGUUGCAUUUUUGCACAGCUCAGCUCUCUGUGUGAGCCGUAGGUCUGUCAUUACAGUAUCUACAGUUUAUAGCCAGUAAUAAAACACAUCUUCCUUGACCCACCGAUCUGAUUUCUGGACUCUCAUCACUGCAUUCAAGAGAUGGACGAAGAAAAUCAAAUACCUGAGGAUCUCUCACUGGAAGAGAGGGAUGAGCUGUCAAACAUCCGGCGGAGGAAGAGAGAGCUGCUGGAUGAUAUUGAGGUGGGUAGCCUUGAAGUUGCGGUGGCUCGGCUUAGUAGUUGGAAAAGCUUUAAAGAAGAGUGUUGUUUCGGAUAUGCUCGUGUAGCUUGUACAUUUUCUCAGAAUGUCUAAUCCCUGUCUGUCUCUGUUCAUUAGGUUGAAUAAUUUCUCUGAAUGAGCUUAUUCCAAGAUACCAAAUAUGACCUUUCUUCCCCCUCUCAGCGCUUGAAGUUUGCGAUAGCUGAAGUCAUGAUGAGAUCGAGCAACUAACGUGUGUAGGAGAGAGGUGGGUGAACAGCCCAUGGUCUCAUUCACUGGUGCUCGCAUUUGCUUUUCACUGUUCUAACUGCAAGACUGAACAAGUAGGUGGUGUGCAGUGCUUUCAAUCAGGUGAUCUGUGCCGAUGCAGUGAUUUCAAUCAGUCUUUGCAGGUGUACCAUACUAAUGUCCUUACCCAAAAGGUGACUGAACUACACUGCUCAAAAAAAUAAAGGGAACACUAAAACAACACAUCCUGAUUUAAACUUUUUUCUUUACAUAGUUGAAUGUGCUGACAAAAAAUCACACACAAAUUAUCAAUGGAAAU
rnacentral:lncRNA from 1 species